CCUACGGGGGGCAGCAGUGAGGAAUAUUGGUCAAUGGACGAGAGUCUGAACCAGCCAAGUAGCGUGAAGGAUGACUGCCCUAUGGGUUGUAAACUUCUUUUAUAUAGGAAUAAAACGAGGCACGCGUGCCUUUUUGUAUGUACCUUAUGAAUAAGGAUCGGCUAACUCCGUGCCAGCAGCCGCGGUAAUACGGAGGAUCCGAGCGUUAUCCGGAUUUAUUGGGUUUAAAGGGAGCGUAGAUGGGUUGUUAAGUCAGUUGUGAAAGUUUGCGGCUCAACCGUAAAAUUGCAGUUGAAACUGGCAGUCUUGAGUACAGUAGAGGUAGGCGGAAUUCGUGGUGUAGCGGUGAAAUGCUUAGAUAUCACGAAGAACUCCGAUUGCGAAGGCAGCUCACUAAACUGCGACUGACACUGAUGCUCGAAAGUGUGGGUAUCAAACAGGAUUAGAUACCCGUGUAGUC
rnacentral:rRNA from 1 species